AGGCACUUAAAACAUGAAAUCAGUGUGUUCUCCAGCAACAAGGGAAUUAACCAAAAUUCAAUAACAGAAAGAUAACAGAAAAAUCCAAGACCCAGAAGCUAAACAAUACACUUCUAAAUAAUCCACGAGUGAAAGAGGCAAUUUCAAGAGAAAUAAAAAAAACUGGAUGAGUGAUCAAAGGUGAGAGAUAAUUCAAGGGAGGAAGGAGUUGAGGAUGAUUUAAAGUUUAAAUGAUGAGGGGCCGGCCCGGUGGCGCAGCGAUUAAGUUCGCACGUUCCGCUUCUCGGCGGCCCGGGGUUCGCUGGUUCGGAUCCCGGGUGCGGACAUGGCACUGCUUGGCAGCCAUGCUGUGGUAGGCGACCCACGUAUAAACUAGAGGAAGAUGGGCACGGAUGUUAGCUCAGAGCCAGGCUUCCUCAGCAAAAAGAGGAGGACUGGCAGUAGUUAGCUGAGGGCUAAUCUUCCUUCAAAAAAAAUAAAUAAAUAAAAAUAAAAAAUAAAGUUUAAAUGAUGAGAGACAGGAGGCAAGCUAGCCAUCAUAGAUCACCUUAAGAGACAUUAGGUAAUUAAUCACCUGGGAAAGCAGACGCAGGUACAGAGUGCUGAGAGCAAAGGUUGAUAGGUGGGAGAUGGAAAGAGAAAGCUGAGCGAACCUAGGAGAGCGCUGACCAGAAACAGAAGACCCCGCCCGGUGAAUCACCUUCGCAGGAUACAGCCAGCGGAAUCAUAGACGAAGGUGGGAAAGGACUGAGGUUGAUGGCGUGACACCGAAGACUUCCUUCCUUCCCUCUCAUGCCUGGUCUUGUGUUUAGCCUUUUUAGUGGGAAUGCUGGCAAGGAACGUGGAACUUUGACGUGCGAUAGUAACGUGAUGAAAAUUUUCUGCCAAUUGCUCUGCUCUGAGCAACCGGAAGGUUCACUGGUAUGAAAAUUUAACACUUGCCACUGCUUCGACCAUCUGGAGAAAGCCUGGAUCUACGGAGGGCCACACACGCUCCCUGGAUAAGGGCUAACUCACAGCAGAGAGCCAUGGGAGGGAGCAAAGUGACACCUUUAAAGCCUGAGGUAGGUACUGCCUGAAAUUAUCCUUGCCCAUUAGCCUUCCAAGUAAUGAGGCAACGCAUUUAUUUUUGCUUCAGACAGUUUUGAAUGGGUAUUUCAUCAACCUGUACUACUUGAAAAU
rnacentral:lncRNA from 1 species